rnacentral:tRNA from 1 species
GGGGAUGUAGCUCAAUGAGAAGAGCGACCGCCUUGCAAGCGGAAGAUCACGGGGCGGUUCCGUGCUUCUCCACCA